rnacentral:rRNA from 1 species
GUGAGUCAUCGAGUCUUUGAACGCAACUUGCGCUCUCUGGUAUUCCGGAGAGCAUGCCUGUUUGAGUGUCAUGAAAUCUCAACCAUUAGGGUUUCUUAAUGGCUUGGAUUUUGGGUGUUGCCAGUCUCUGGCUCGCCUUAAAGGAGUUAGCGAGUUUAACAAUGUCGUCUGGCGUAAUAAGUUUCGCUGGUAAGACUUGUGAAGUUUGCUUCUAAUCGUCUUCGGACAAUUUACUUUGACUCUGGCCUCUAAAUCAGGUUAGGCUACCCACCUGAAACUUUAAAGCAUAUCAAUAAGCGGAGG